rnacentral:lncRNA from 1 species
GGAGGGUCUCAGCCUCAUUCCUUGGUUCAAAGAUAAAGCCAUUUUCUCAAAGUCACGGUGAAGAUCUAAUAGCAGAAGCACUCAGGGCUUCUGACAGCCUGCCAGUCACCAGGAUGGGCGUGGCUCCUGGCAGCCUGCCAGUCACCAGGAUGGGCGUGGCUCCUGGCAGCCUGUCAGUCACCAGGAUUGGCGUGGCUCCUGGCAGCUUGCAGUCACCAGGAUGGGCGUGGCUUCGGGCAAAACUGUUCUGCUCCCCUGAUACCAGGAGGCUCUAGAAGAAGACAUGUGCUGCUCCUUGGAGGUUGGAACUGCCCCCCGCAGUGGCAUCUGUGAAAUGGGUGCCAUCUCACAGCCUUCAGAGUCUGCAUGAUACAAUCAUGAAUUCAACAGUGUGGAUGUGCACACAUGUGCAACACCUGGAGCUUCAGGGACUUCCUGUCAGCAGAAGGUCCUCAAGUCACCACACAGCUAUUCAGUCACCUCCACGGGAACAAGAAGAACACAUUGUGGGGCCGGGCCGUGGGGUGGGAGACACAACAGCGCACUGCCUCUUCUGUUACCAGAAAUGCCUCUGAUCUAAGGAUGCACAGCAACACUGGGCCAGACUGUUGAGGCGUUGUGAAGAGUGAACCCUCCCUGCUCUGCAUCAAAAGGCCUCGGGUCACUGACAUUGGGUUAAAAGC